UGGGGAAUUUUGGACAAUGGGCGAAAGCCUGAUCCAGCAAUGCCGCGUGUGUGAAGAAGGCCUUCGGGUUGUAAAGCACUUUUGUCCGGAAAGAAAUCCUUGGCUCUAAUACAGUCGGGGGAUGACGGUACCGGAAGAAUAAGCACCGGCUAACUACGUGCCAGCAGCCGCGGUAAUACGUAGGGUGCAAGCGUUAAUCGGAAUUACUGGGCGUAAAGCGUGCGCAGGCGGUUUGCUAAGACCGAUGUGAAAUCCCCGGGCUCAACCUGGGAACUGCAUUGGUGACUGGCAGGCUAGAGUAUGGCAGAGGGGGGUAGAAUUCCACGUGUAGCAGUGAAAUGCGUAGAGAUGUGGAGGAAUACCGAUGGCGAAGGCAGCCCCCUGGGCCAAUACUGACGCUCAUGCACGAAAGCGUGGGGAGCAAACAGGAUUAGAUACCCUGGUAGUCCACGCCCUAAACGAUGUCAACUAGUUGUUGGGGAUUCAUUUCCUUAGUAACGUAGCUAACGCGUGAAGUUGACCGCCUGGGGAGUACGGUCGCAAGAUUAAAACUCAAAU
rnacentral:rRNA from 1 species